GACGAACGCUGGCGGCGUGCCUAAUACAUGCAAGUAGAACGCUGAAGGCGGAGCUUGCUUCUCUGGUUGAGUUGCGAACGGGUGAGUAACGCGUAGGUAACCUGCCUGGUAGCGGGGGAUAACUAUUGGAAACGAUAGCUAAUACCGCAUAAGAGUAGAUGUUGCAUGACAUUUGCUUAAAAGGUGCAAUUGCAUCACUACCAGAUGGACCUGCGUUGUAUUAGGUAGUUGGUGAGGUAACGGCUCACCAAGGCAACGAUACAUAGCCGACCGGAGAGGGGGGUCGGCCACACUGGGAGGGUGACACGCCCCAGAGGCCUACAGGUGGCAGCAGUAGGGAAUCUUCAGCAAGGGACGGAAGUCUGACCGAACAACGCCGCAUGAGUGAAGAAGGUUUUCGGAUCGUAAAGCUCUGUUGUAAGAGAAGAACGAGUGUGAGAGUGGAAAGUUCACACUGUGACGGUAUCUUACCAGAAAGAGACGGCUAACUACGUG
rnacentral:rRNA from 1 species